rnacentral:rRNA from 1 species
UUUUAUGAGAGUUUGAUCCUGGCUCAGGACGAACGCUGGCGGCGUGCCUAAUACAUGCAAGUCGAACGCUUCUUUUUCCACCGGAGCUUGCUCCACCGGAAAAAGAGGAGUGGCGAACGGGUGAGUAACACGUGGGUAACCUGCCCAUCAGAAGGGGAUAACACUUGGAAACAGGUGCUAAUACCGUAUAACAAUCGAAACCGCAUGGUUUUGAUUUGAAAGGCGCUUUCGGGUGUCGCUGAUGGAUGGACCCGCGGUGCAUUAGCUAGUUGGUGAGGUAACGGCUCACCAAGGCCACGAUGCAUAGCCGACCUGAGAGGGUGAUCGGCCACAUUGGGACUGAGACACGGCCCAAACUCCUACGGGAGGCAGCAGUAGGGAAUCUUCGGCAAUGGACGAAAGUCUGACCGAGCAACGCCGCGUGAGUGAAGAAGGUUUUCGGAUCGUAAAACUCUGUUGUUAGAGAAGAACAAGGAUGAGAGUAACUGUUCAUCCCUUGACGGUAUCUAACCAGAAAGCCACGGCUAACUACGUGCCAGCAGCCGCGGUAAUACGUAGGUGGCAAGCGUUGUCCGGAUUUAUUGGGCGUAAAGCGAGCGCAGGCGGUUUCUUAAGUCUGAUGUGAAAGCCCCCGGCUCAACCGGGGAGGGUCAUUGGAAACUGGGAGACUUGAGUGCAGAAGAGGAGAGUGGAAUUCCAUGUGUAGCGGUGAAAUGCGUAGAUAUAUGGAGGAACACCAGUGGCGAAGGCGGCUCUCUGGUCUGUAACUGACGCUGAGGCUCGAAAGCGUGGGGAGCAAACAGGAUUAGAUACCCUGGUAGUCCACGCCGUAAACGAUGAGUGCUAAGUGUUGG